rnacentral:rRNA from 1 species
UACGUAGGGGGCUAGCGUUGUCCGGAUUUAUUGGGCGUAAAGAGCGUGUAGGCGGCCAUGUAGGUCCGGUGUGAAAACUCGAGGCUUAACCUCGAGAUGUCAUCGGAAACCAUUUGGCUAGAGUCCGGAAGAGGAGAGUGGAAUUCCUGGUGUAGCGGUGAAAUGCGCAGAUAUCAGGAAGAACACCAAUGGCGAAAGCAGCUCUCUGGGACGGUACUGACGCUGAGACGCGAGAGCGUGGGGAGCGAACAGG